UAGCAAAUUUAGAAAUCCAAGAUCAUUCUCUAUUUUUCCCAGAUCCGGAUGCGUUUUGGGCACACGAAUCUGGAACGUAAGAAAAAGUAAACGAAAUAUAAAUGACAACAGUUCUAAAGCUUUCGUGCUCUUGUGGUGUCAGGAAAGAGGCCUUUAUGUUCUGCUUUGGCACCGGAGUGGCUGCUUUGCCUUUAUGUUUUGCUUUGGCAUCGGUGUGGCUGCUUUGCCUUUAUGUUUUGCUUUGGCAUCGGUGUGGCUGAUGUUUUUGUAAAUAUGUUCAGAGCUGUAUACAUGCAUUAGUUAUAGGUGCAGCUUUCCUCCAUUGUACUCAGAGAGGCAAGUAGAUUGUAAAACUUUAGAGCACAGUAAGGA
rnacentral:lncRNA from 1 species